rnacentral:rRNA from 1 species
UACGUAGGGGGCGAGCGUUGUCCGGAAUUACUGGGCGUAAAGGGUGCGUAGGCGGCCUUGUAAGUCAGAUGUGAAAUACCAUGGCUUAACUGUGGGGGUGCAUUUGAAACUAUAGGGCUUGAGUACAGGAGAGGAAAGUGGAAUUCCUAGUGUAGCGGUGAAAUGCGUAGAGAUUAGGAGGAACACCAGUGGCGAAGGCGACUUUCUGGACUGUAACUGACGCUGAGGCACGAAAGCGUGGGUAGCGAACAGG